UGUCAUAAUGAUGAUUCACUACCGCCCCAGUCUGAUAUUGUGAGUGAUUGGUUUUUCUGAGUGGUU